UUAACCAUUUUUAAGUGUACAGUUCUAUGGCCUUAAGUACAUCACACUGUUGUGCAACCGUCACUGCCUUCCGCCCACAGAACUCUUCUCUGUAAAACUGAAACUCUACACAUUAAGUAACAACUCGCCAUUCCUCUUUCCUCCCUGCCCGCCCCAGCAAUUGCCCCUCAGCUUUCUGUCUCUGUGAACCCGAUUAUUCUACGAUCCUCAUCCUUGAGCUGCAUUGCAAAGGUCUCCAUAGUUCCCAGGCCCCAGGAAAGGGAGCACAAAGGCAGAAGAACAUUUACCUCUCCACGCUGUCACUGACUGAUGUCUCAUCUAGGACCUCCUCAAAGUGUUGUGCUCCCUCAGGCAAGGGGAUGCGAUGGCAGACGCAAAGGCACCAGGCCACCCUUUGCCCUCCACAACUCAGCGCUGACACAUCAUUGGCUGCUGGACU